rnacentral:lncRNA from 1 species
GGAGGAUCCAUCAAACGGUUAUACCCAGACGAAAUAAAGGUAACGAUAAAGUGGGAUGGCUGUAAAUGGUAAGUAAAUUCACAAUUAAAUAAGGUAAAACGGUGGUGAUUAUAGGUGAUUAGGCCUUGAUUAAGGUCUUGCUAAUCAAAGCCCAUGACCAAAAAUAUAAGUACAUGUCAAAGGUAAGAGGUAGACACCCCCAUUAAUUGCGCAUUUAGUACAGUACUCAAAUUACCGAGAGGAUUAUUACUUACUUUGGCAUCAGAUAACCUUUGACAGGUAUCCCUCCCGUUGGUAGUUGGUAGAUAAAAGAUUGGAAAGCAGGAUAGUAACUGAACGGAGCUUUGAGAAAAUUGUGCAAGACUUAGGUGACUC